UACGGGGGGAGCAAGCGUUGUUCGGAUUUACUGGGCGUGAAGGGCGCGUAGGCGGCCACCGCAAGUCGACUGUGAAAUCUCCGGGCUUAACCCGGAAAGGUCAGCCGAUACUGCGGGGCUAGAGUGCAGAAGGGGCAACUGGAAUUCUCGGUGUAGCGGUGAAAUGCGUAGAUAUCGAGAGGAACACCUGCGGCGAAGGCGGGUUGCUGGGCUGACACUGACGCUGAGGCGCGAAAGCUAGGGGAGCGAACGGG
rnacentral:rRNA from 1 species